rnacentral:rRNA from 1 species
GACGAACGCUGGCGGCGUGCUUAAUACAUGCAAGUCGAACGGAAAGGCCCUGCUUUUGUGGGGUGCUCGAGUGGCGAACGGGUGAGUAACACGUGAGUAACCUGCCCUUGACUUUGGGAUAACUUCAGGAAACUGGGGCUAAUACCGGAUAGGAGCUCCUGCUGCAUGGUGGGGGUUGGAAAGUUUCGGCGGUUGGGGAUGGACUCGCGGCUUAUCAGCUUGUUGGUGGGGUAGUGGCUUACCAAGGCUUUGACGGGUAGCCGGCCUGAGAGGGUGACCGGCCACAUUGGGACUGAGAUACGGCCCAGACUCCUACGGGAGGCAGAAGUGGGGAAUAUUGCACAAUGGGCGGAAGCCUGAUGCAGCAACGCCGCGUGCGGGAUGACGGCCUUCGGGUUGUAAACCGCUUUCGCCUGUGACGAAGCGUGAGUGACGGUAAUGGGUAAAGAAGCACCGGCUAACUACGUG